CAGCAGCCGCGGGAAUACGAAGGGGGCUAGCGUUGUUCGGAAUUACUGGGCGUAAAGCGCACGUAGGCAGAUAUUUAAGUCAGGGGUGAAAUCCCGCAGCUCAACUGCGGAACUGCCUUUGAUACUGGGUAUCUUGAGUAUGGAAGAGGUUAGUGGAAUUGCGAGUGUAGAGGUGAAAUUCGUAGAUAUUCGCAGGAACACCAGUGGCGAAGGCGGCUAACUGGUCCAUAACUGACGCUGAGGUGCGAAAGCGUGGGGAGCAAACAGGAUUAGAUACCCCAGUAGUCCCUGUCUCUUAUAC
rnacentral:rRNA from 1 species